rnacentral:misc_RNA from 1 species
AACGCACGAGACCUGCGGACCUGCGGAGGGAUCAUUACCGAGUUUCCAAAACUCCCAACCCAUGUGAACUUACCUCUCGUUGCCUCGGCGGGAUCGCCCCGGGUGCCCCAGGCCCCGGACCCAGGCGCCCGCCGCAGGACCCCAAACUCUUGUUUAGUGGAAGCUUCUUCUGAGUGAGAAAACAAAUAAAUCAAAACUUUCAGCAAUGGAUCUCU